rfam:Triticum aestivum genome assembly, contig: Triticum_aestivum_CS42_TGACv1_scaffold_642875_T_4BL-0.221181_5AL-0.155640
UAAGUACUCCUUCCAUCCGGAAAUACUUGUAGUAGAAUGGAUACAAAUAGAUGUAUCUAGAACUAAAAUACAUCUAGAUACAUCCAUUCCUUGGAACAGUAUUUCUGGACGGACGGAGUACAAU